rnacentral:rRNA from 1 species
GUGUCAGCAGCCGCGGUAAUACGGAGGAUGCGAGCGUUAUCCGGAUUUAUUGGGUUUAAAGGGUGCGUAGGCGGACCGAUAAGUCAGUGGUGAAAACCUGCAGCUUAACUGUAGAACUGCCAUUGAUACUGUCGGACUUGAGUAUGGUCAAGGUAGGCGGAAUGUGUAAUGUAGCGGUGAAAUGCUUAGAUAUUACACAGAACACCGAUUGCGAAGGCAGCUUGCUGGACCAUUACUGACGCUGAUGCACGAAAGCGUGGGGAGCGAACAGGAUUAGAUACCCUGGUAGUCCACGCCGUAAACGAUGAUCACUCGCUGUUGGCGAUACACAGUCAGCGGCUAAGCAAAAGCAUUAAGUGAUCCACCUGGGGAGUACGGCCGCAAGGCUGAAACUUAAAUGAAUUGACGGGG